rnacentral:rRNA from 1 species
GACGAACGCUGGCGGCGUGCUUAACACAUGCAAGUCGAACGGUCCGGCACUUGAUUUUAUCGGCGCUUUUAGCGCCAUUGAUCAAGUGCCGGAUAGUGGCGGACGGGUGAGUAACGCGUGGGCAACCUGCCUUUCACAGGGGGAUAACACCGGGAAACCGGUGCUAAUACCGCAUAACGUAUAUAAAUGGCAUCAUAAAUAUACCAAAGGAGAAAUCCGGUGAAAAGAUGGGCCCGCGUCCGAUUAGCUAGUUGGUGGGGUAACUGCUCACCAAGGCGACGAUCGGUAGCCGAACUGAGAGGUUGACCGGCCACAUUGGGACUGAGACACGGCCCAGACUCCUACGGGAGGCAGCAGUGGGGAAUAUUGCGCAAUGGGGGGAACCCUGACGCAGCGACGCCGCGUGAAGGAAGAAGGCCUUCGGUUGUAACUUACUUUGUAUGUAGGGACGGAGUAAUAGUACGGUACCGUCAAGAACAAGACCACGGCUAACUACGUAGCCAGCAGCCGCGGUAAAACGUAGACGUA